rnacentral:rRNA from 1 species
UACAGAGGGUGCAAGCGUUAAUCGGAAUUACUGGGCGUAAAGCGUGCGUAGACGGUUACAUAAGUCAGGUGUGAAAGCCCCGGGCUCAACCUGGGAAUUGCAUUUGAGACUGUGUAGCUAGGGUGCGGAAGAGGGAAGCGGAAUUUCCGGUGUAGCGGUGAAAUGCGUAGAUAUCAGGAGGAACACCGGUGGCGAAGGCGGGUCUCUGGGCCGAUACUGACGCUGAGGAGCGAAAGCGUGGGGAGCGAACAGG